ACUCAAAGGAAUUGACGGGGGCCCGCACAAGCGGUGGAGCAUGUGGUUUAAUUCGACGAUACGCGAGAAACCUUACCUGGGUUUGACAUGGAUUUGACUGGGGUAGAGAUACCCCUUCCCGCAAGGGCAGAUUCACAGGUGUUGCAUGGUCGUCGUCAGCUCGUGUUGUGAGAUGUUGGGUUAAGUCCCGCAACGAGCGCAACCCCUAUCUUCUGUUGCCAUCAUUAAGUUGGGCACUCUGAAGAAACCGCCGGUGACAAACCGGAGGAAGGUGGGGAUGACGUCAGAUCAGCAUGGCCCUUAUAUCCAGGGCUACACACGUGCUACAAUGGCCGGUACAGAGGGACGCAAAGCCGCGAGGUGGAGCAAAUCCCACAAAGCCGGUCUCAGUUCAGAUUGCAGUCUGCAACUCGACUGCAUGAAGUCGGAAUCGCUAGUAAUCGCAAAUCAUCAUGUUGCGGUGAAUACGUUCCCGGGCCUUGUACACACCGCCCGU
rnacentral:rRNA from 1 species